rnacentral:rRNA from 1 species
AAGAAAAUGAUUUUGAAUCAAUGAGUUUCUCGGACGAAGAAGACCGCAAUACGUGCAUAAUUGCUCUGAAAAUAGAAGUGAAAGAGCGUUUGUUGAAUGCGUGACC